GAUCCUGAGUGCCUGGUCUGGAGGACGUGUUCAGCACAGAUUUGUGGAAGUGUGUGACUGUUGAAAAUGUUCCUGGCAGCUCUCUCAGCGUCAGAACUCUGCAUUCCGUCCUACACAAACGUGGAUCUGAUCACACUGCUUUCCAGGCAAGGAGCCUCAGCUGCAGAUAGCAAGGAUGAAGAAGUCAAGGUCGCCCCCAGGCGGUCCUUCCUGGUGCUUUGAAUAUGUUAUUCCACUGCCCUCUGGACUCCAUUGUUUCUGAUGAGAAGUCAGCUGUUAAUCUUAUUGGGGUUUCCUUACUUCGACCCCCACCACUUCUGGCAGUGGAGCAGCUUCUCGGACUACGUGCAGUGCGUCCUGGCCUUCACAGGCGUGGCGGGCUACGUCACCUACCUGUCCAUUGACUCCGCCCUGUUUGUGGAGACCCUGGGCUUCCUGGCCGUGCUGACCGAAGCCAUGCUGGGCGUGCCGCAGCUUUACCGCAACCACCGCCACCAGUCCACGGAGGGCAUGAGCAUCAAGAUGGUGCUCAUGUGGACGAGCGGUGACGCCUUCAAG
rnacentral:sRNA from 1 species